UUGACCUCGGAUCAGGUAGGGAUACCCGCUGAACUUAAGCAUAUCAAUAAGCGGAGGAAAAGAAACCAACAGGGAUUGCCCUAGUAACGGCGAGUGAAGCGGCAACAGCUCAAAUUUGAAAUCUGGCUCUUUCAGAGUCCGAGUUGUAAUUUGCAGAGGGCGCUUUGGCUUUGGCAGCGGUCCAAGUUCCUUGGAACAGGACGUCACAGAGGGUGAGAAUCCCGUACGUGGUCGCUAGCUAUUGCCGUGUAAAGCCCCUUCGACGAGUCGAGUUGUUUGGGAAUGCAGCUCUAAAUGGGAGGUAAAUUUCUUCUAAAGCUAAAUAUUGGCCAGAGACCGAUAGCGCACAAGUAGAGUGAUCGAAAGAUGAAAAGCACUUUGGAAAGAGAGUCAAACAGCACGUGAAAUUGUUGAAAGGGAAGCGCUUGCAGCCAGACUUGCUUGCAGUUGCUCAUCCGGGCUUUUGCCCGGUGCACUCUUCUGUAGGCAGGCCAGCAUCAGUUUGGGCGGUGGGAUAAAGGUCUCUGUCACGUACCUCUCUUCGGGGAGGCCUUAUAGGGGAGACGACAUACCACCAGCCUAGACUGAGGUUCCG
rnacentral:rRNA from 1 species